rnacentral:rRNA from 1 species
AAUCCCUUAAAGCUACUCUCAGUUCGGAUUGUAGGCUGAAACUCGCCUACAUGAAGCUGGAGUUACUAGUAAUCGCAGAUCAGAAUGCUGCGGUGAAUACGUUCCCGGGUCUUGUACACACCGCCCGUCACACCACGGGAGUUGGAGACGCCCGAAGCCGAUUAUCUAACCUUUUGGAAGAAAUCGUCGAAGGUGGAAUCAAUAACUGGGGUGAAGUCGUAACAAGGUAGCCGUAUCGGAAGGUGCGGCUGGAUCACCUCCUUUCUAAGGAGA